GUGUGCCCAUCCCUCCCACUAACAUCUUGCAAAAGGGGGGCCUUGUCAAAUGUUAAUACCAUUUGAGGGGCCUUGCCCUGGAAAAGUUUGUGAACCCCUGUCUUAGGAGAUUCAGAAUCGUGACUUAAUCGUUCUGGAACACCGUGUUCGCACGCGCUCACAAAGCUGAGAAUCACACAAAUCUGAAGAUAAUCACAUCAGGAACCGCAGCUCACCGAGCUGAGAUCAUCCGAGAUCAUCCUCAGUGACAAGUCAGAUCCAAGAGUGACCUGCUACAGAGACUGUCUUUCAGAAGAAUACCUCUUCUCCAAAGUGGAUGGAUCCAUACAGAAUCUUCUUUAUGUCUGUAUAACCAGUCUGGUAGGCAGGAAAUUGGGUGCAUCUGAUACAUGUGGAAUAUGCACUGGAGUGGGCCUCAGCACGAGGGACAACUCCCCCACUCCUCAGACUCGAGGAGCCUGCUUUACUUGUAUAUCUGGAAAUGGUACACUCACAGUGAAUUCAUGGCGCACAUUCUUUGUACCCGUCAACAUGGAUGUAACAUCACCAAACUGGAAUAUACACUGGAGUGGGGCUCAGCAUGAGGCACAAUAAUCCUCCUCCACUCCUCAGUCUCAAGGAGUCUGCUUUACUUAUGUAUCUGGAAAUGGUACACUCACAGUGAAUCUAUGGCACACAUACUUGACAAGAAUUGACAUGGAUGUAACUGCACCAAACUGGGAUAUACACUGGAGUGGGGCUCAGCAUGAGGCACAAUAAUCCUCCUCCACUCCUCAGACCCAAGGAGUCUGCUUCACUAUGUGUAUCUGGAAAUACUACACCCAAGGUUGCUUCGCUGUGUGUGUAGAAAGAAAGUAUCUGUAAAAUUUUUGUUAUUUAAAUUUUUUGAAGGGUUUGUAACAGUGAGUUUAACGCUUUGUUAUAGUUUAUGACAGUUUAAUGUACUGAAAUAACUGCUUGCAAGUGCUUCAGGUUACAUAUAAGUGUAGUCACUGAUAAUAUGAUAAUUAAUUUGUCUGACUGUAAGAACUUUUUUAGCCUACUUGUUUUAUAUGACUGUUCUGUUUUUAUUAAAGGAUUAUCUUAUUUUAUUUCAUUAAAGGAUUAAAUGUGUAGAAAUUUUCUGCAAAAUGUUUUAUGUCUGUCAGGGUCGUUUAGAAGCCUGAACUGUAUUGUGACAUUGUGUAUGAAUGAAUAAAUGAUAUAAAUGUAUAAAUGGGGUGAAUGUAAGUUGCUGUGGACAACCGAGUCUGCCAAAUGGCAUAAAUGCACAUGUAAAUUGUGACAGCCCAUAUACAAAAGAAAAAAAAUAGUGAAUUGCAAAAACUGCAAAAAAUGCAGUCCUUAAA